AUUGAACGCUGGCGGCAUGCCUUACACAUGCAAGUCGAACGGCAGCAUGGAGAGCUUGCUCUCUGAUGGCGAGUGGCGAACGGGUGAGUAAUGCAUCGGAACGUACCGUGUAAUGGGGGAUAACGUAGCGAAACUUACGCUAAUACCGCAUACGAUCUGAGGAUGAAAGCAGGGGACCGCAAGGCCUUGCGCGAUUGGAUGAGCCGAUGUCCGAUUAGCUAGUUGGCGGGGUAAAGGCCCACCAAGGCGACGAUCGGUAGCUGGUCUGAGAGGAUGAUCAGCCACACUGGAACUGAGACACGGUCCAGACUCCUACGGGAGGCAGCAGUGGGGAAUAUUGGACAAUGGGCGCAAGCCUGAUCCAGCCAUGCCGCGUGUGUGAAGAAGGCCUUCGGGUUGUAAAGCACUUUUGUUGGGAAAGAAAUCCUGUCGGCUAAUACCCGGCGGGGAUGACGGUACCCAAAGAAUAAGCACCGGCUAACUUCGUGCCAGCCGCCGCAGUAAAAC
rnacentral:rRNA from 1 species